GGACGUGAACUUGCCUCAGUGAUGGCCUUCUGCUCUCCUACAAGUUGCUUGCUGUCCCCAACCUUGCUCUCUUACAUGAGUGGUGACCCCUUGGACCCAGCCUGGUCUAAUGGCGCUGGGUUCCUCCAUUCCUCACAUUUUACAUUUCUAAAUUCUACCAUACGUUUAUUUUGCUCUUCUGUUGUAGACAGUCUCAGUGAGAGCAUCUGUUGGAAUUAUCCAGAGUUCUAGUGGGUUUGUUAGCACACAGAUCGCUGGCCCCGCCCCCGGAGUCUCUGAGUCAGUACAUCUGGAUGCGGACCAAGGAGAUGCCUUUCUAACAAGCUCCCAGGGGAUGGUGAUGGUGCUGGGAAGUGAUGAGUUUGAAGGAUCUUCUCUCCAUUCUACAUUGAUGAUACUUUUGACGUGAGCCUGAAUCCCUGUCUCACGACAAAUACUAAUGAACUUGAGGGCUGGCGUGUUGUUGCAGAUAACAACGGAAGGGUAUAAAAUACAAUGAACUGUGAUGGUGUGGAGAUACUGACAUCAGCACAAGAGGGCUCGCUGUAAGAAUUCCAGGUCUGCUUUCAUGAAUAUGAGACUCUAAGAAGUGGCACAAUCGUGAGCUGUGGGGACAAUGUCACCUUGAUCCACCAAUUUACAGCCGCCAGCCGUCAAAGGAGCUAAACAUCUUCAUACGCUUCCCAAUCCACUUUCAUUUGAUCACCCAAAGAGGUGCCUGGGACAAUAGUCGUGGGAUGUGACAUUGAUGUGAUAUAUAUUUGCUUCAACUAAAAGGCACAGGUGCCUUUGAAGAGCUCGAAACCAGGAGAGGAUUCUGAUCCCCUUUCAGCUCCCUGGCACCCUGAGGAAGUAAAAACAGGGUUUCCAUGCAUCUGACUCUUGCUUGUCUGAAGUUUCCCUGAAUGACAGUCAUCCCAGAAGCUCCCAAUCCGUCGUUGCCUCCUGCACCACCACAACAUGUGCCUGGGAACCUUUGGCAUUGCAUCCUUCUUCAGUUCCUCUUUACUCGCAAAAAUUUCUUUGAAUUUUAUAUCACGAUGGUAGCAUAAAACCCAAACACUUGAGUAAGGGCAUUUGGCUGCCUGCUCUGUUUAAUUGAUGUCUGACUGGUUUCUUGUCCCACUUCCCUUCAAUUUAGCUCUGGAAACAUCUGUCUUUUUUAUCCACCAAUCGAGUCUCGAAAGGCUAGCAAACCUGUUAGAUAAAAGAUCAAAGUUAUGAAUUCUGAUUUAAUAAAUGUGCAUGUGAGAGAUGAUUCAUGGCAUGUAUGAUAGCUUUCAAUUGCUUUCUCAAACAGUUCAUGCUUCAUUUCAUUAAGAGCUUCAGUCAAUGCCAACUGAUUAAUUAUCACGGCAUGCAACAUCUUUUGUUUAGAAAACUCAUGCAUACGGCCCUUAUGGGACUUGACCAUAUAGGCAUUUAUUUAAGAUGCAAAUAAACUGUUUUAAAAUAGAUCAUUCUAGAAUUGUUUUCAGAAUCCCACUAAAAUGAUACUGGAAACCAUUCAUUUCUGCUUAAAAGAUGUCUACCGAGUCCCUCCAAGUGCCGUAAGCACUGGGAAGAUGCACAGUCCCUGCCCUCAAUAAGCUUGUGGUCCAAUGCUGCAAGCCCUUUUACGGAUAUGAUUUCAGCCUGAGGCGUUACGAGCCUAGUGGUUAAGGGUUUGUGGUGUGGAGCCCUAGCUGGACCACAGAGUGGCUGUGUGGCCUGGAACAAGCUGUAUCCACUCCCCAGGAUUUGGGUUCUCCUGUCUCAAAGGACCAUCCUGGCCACUGCGCCUCCCUUGUCCUGGCAGUAGUACAUUACCCAGUCCUAAUUCCCCAGCUGUCAUGUUUGCCUCUCCCCUCCAUUUCAACAAAGGAGGCAAGUGAAUGGAAACACUGUUUAGUGAAGGCAGUUAGAGCAUGAAGUCGAAUUCUUCAUUUCAGAAGAUGUAUUGAUCUUUUGCGCACACUUUGAGUGUUCAUACUGUUGCCAUAAUUGCAAAAGUCAAAGGGAAAAUCUCAUUUUGGGGGCAAGAAAUUAAACAACCUAAUGGAUAGAAAUUA